rnacentral:lncRNA from 1 species
UUUUCUUCAUCUGUAAGAUUGAGUAAUGGUCUGUUAAAUGGGCAGAUUGGCUUAUUCAUCUAUCUGUUUAUACACUGAGAAAUGCUUGGGCCAUUUCUUCACUUCGGUUAUUGUAAAUAUUGCUGUUAUGACUAGAAUUGUGCAAGCCUCCUCUUGUGUUGCUGCCUCCAGCGCUGUUUGCAAUGUGUCCCAAGUGAAAUUGAUAGAGGGUACAGAAAUUCUAUUUUUAACCUUUGAGGAAAUACUGUGUCACUUUCACAGCAGCGGUGCCAGUUUGCACUCCCACCAGCAUCGCCACAGGUGUAUUUCUAAGAAGGCCUCAGAAACAUAAGCUUAAACGUACAGGCAGCAAUAUCAAAAGUAGAGAAAUGAGACUGUACUAAACUAAAAGGCUCCUACAGAAAAGGAACCUAUCAACGGCGCGAAGAAACGGCCUGCAGAGCACUGGGAGAAAAUAUCUGCAAGCUAUCCAUCGGACAAGCCGACAUCCGACAUACAUAAGGAAGUCAAGCAAGACUGUGGCCAGGAAACAAACAAUCCAGCAUAAGGACAUCUGUGAACAGUUCUCAGAAGACAACACAGCCAGGGCAGCAGGGCAAUGAUAAAAGACUCACCAAGGAAAUGCAAACCAAAACUGGCAUCUUGCCUACACCUGUUAGGAUAGCAACCAUGAAAAGACACAGAAAACUAGUGUUGACAAGGAUGUAGACAAAAGAGAACUCUUGUAUGCUCUUGGCUGAAUGCAAAUUUCUACAGUCAUUAUGGAAACUUUUAUAGAGGUUCCUCAAAACAAAACAAAAAAACUAAAGCUAGUAACUACUGCGUGGUCCCACCAUUCCUUUCACUGAGCACAUACUGAAGGAAAUAAGGCCAAUAUAUGAGGGACCUUUGUACUCCCAUACUUAUAGAAGCAUUAUUCUCAGUACCAAGAAACAGAAUCCAUUCAAUUGUCCAACAACAGAUGAUUGGGUAAAGAAAAUGUGGCACAUAUAACAAUGGAGUAGUAUUUAACCUGAAAAGAGGAAAUCCUGCCAUUGCAUAGUGACAUAAAUGAACCCAGAGGAAUUUAUGCAAGUGGAAAUAGCCAGAUGCAGAAUAAUAAAUGCAUGAUCUCACUUAUCUGAGGAAUCUAUAAAAGGCAAAGUCCUAGCUUGGUAGUUUCCAGAGUCAGAGGAGGGUGGAGCAGGGGAGGAUGCUGGAAGGCUACAAGUUUCCGUUGAAAGAUGGGGGAAGUUCCUGAGCCCACAUUGAUAAUUCCAGCUUGCGUCAGCAACAACAACAAAGCAACCAGGAAUCACAUUAAGCUCUUAGGAGGCCAGUGCUCGAUUCUGUGGAUCCCGGGGUAGUCGGGAGAGGGAUGGAACUGGUUUUGGCACAAGGAAGAAGGGCUGCUGCAGGAUCGGGGGCCCCAGAAACCAAGAACCUGCCCUGUGUAUGAGAAGCAGUUCAGGAAGACCACAGACACGAGCAUCCGAGGCUGGAAAGGGUAACUGACCCAGAGACAGUCAGCUAUGUUCUCAACCUCACCUCCAUAAUCUGUUCUGUCCUCCUCACUCUGCGAUGUCUCUUCUGGGAGCUCCUUCUGGGGUCCCUGCAGUGAUUGAGAAAUCAGCACACAGUCACAGCCAUCCAUGAGAGUAUGGCAAUGAACACAGAGAGAUGUAGAAAUACAAACAAGCCAACGGGGAACAGCCUGCCUCUCAUCAUGACCUCAGACCAGAGGAAAAUAAGAAAACAGCCCCCAUGUCCCUGUCACAGGCCACAGGCUCUGUUGUAAUGUCACCAUUGCAAUAAAUAAAAUUUCUGGAAUAAAGACAGAAAGCAGAGAGGGAAAGAAAUUAAAAAGAGACCAGCAGAGAGAGAGAGGCAGACACACAGUGGAGGAGG